rnacentral:lncRNA from 1 species
CGGAACGUCGACAUCCUCAGGGACUUCUGCGAGGAGCAGAAGAUCAAGUACUUCUACGACAUCAAGGACCUCAGCGACUUCAGAGUAUAUGCCUUGCUGAUUCAUUCCGUUUAGAGCUUCCUGAUCGAGGUUCAUUCAAGUAAAAGCAAGAUUUAUGUGCUUAAAGAGCUUUGAACUCUUGGUUUGUAGGCAAAUCCAGACUACAAAGGUGUUUGCCACAUUGCGCUCGCCCAAGAAGGUCACUGCCGACCAGGCGAGGUAUUUUUUCUGCCUACAUGAAGUACUGGAAGCUUGAGGUUUUGCUGUACAGGUUUAACCUGGUUCCCCUUGAUGUAAUAGGUUCUCCUUGGUACUGAUUCUCAUACCUGCAAUGCUGGAGCCUUUGGUCAGUUUGCAACUGGAAUUGGAAACACUGAUGCAGGUUUUGUGAUGGGAACUGGAAAGGCUCUUCUCAAGGUGUGCAAGCAUGUUAAAUUACUUCCGGAUGGAAUUUGAAAAUAGUCUUGCCAUGAGAACAGAUGGGACAUAUCUUUCUCAGUCUGAGCAAUCUUUGGUUCUGUAUCUCAGUGAUGUGUCAGGGUUUCUUCAUUUGUUUCUCACAUUCUGUACAUUAUUCUAUCAUGUUUCUCAUAUUCUGUACAUUAUUCUAUCAUACUAUACUAAACUACAGUUUAUUGCACAAAUAUGGAAACUUAAGAUAUGCAUUUGAUAGAAGUGACUAUAAGUUCCUUUUUGUUUAUAAAUUAUAUGCUGGUCCAUCCAAAAAUACUCAGGUGGUGUUUGGUUCUCUAGUCUUAGGACUUUUUCUAGUCCCAACUAAAAAGUCCUAGUCCCUAAAAAGUCCCUCCCUGUUUGUUUCCAGAGACUAAAAAGUCCCUAGUCCCUUCCUAGAGGUUAUUAAAUGACCAUGUUGCCCCUAGUAUAUAGAAAAAUAACAAUCAAACAACACCAUGGGGUGGCGGGCCAAUGGGUGCAUGGAGGGGCAUUGUUGGAAAAGUCCCAAAAAGUCCCAAAAAGACUCUCCUUGAGAGUCUUCUUCAUUUAGUCCCAAAUGCCUAGUUUAGUCCCUAAAAAGUCUCUCCCGUUUGGUAAAAAAGUCUCUAAGAGAGACUUUUUCUAGUCCCUACACAAGUCCCUGGAAAUAAACACCCCCUCAAUUCAAUGCAGAGAUAUUAGGUGUAGUAUCUGAUUAGCACCAUUCAAACAACAGUUAUCGAUCUCUUUUCCAUUUUUGCAUCCUGUAUGCUUCUCACAUUCUGUUUAUUUUUAGUGUGAUAAAAUAUUGGUUUUUGAACAUGCUAUCUCUUUUCAUAUCGUGGAGAAACUUUUCUCUAUUUCUUUCUGCAUACAGCGUGUUCCCUAUGGGAAAAAUGGUGUUUUGAUCUGUUUAAUCUUAUUUUCAGGUGCCCCCAACCAUCAGGUUCGUAUUAGAUGGAGAAAUGCCACCUUAUUUACUCGCUAAGGAUCUGAUUUUACAAGUAAGCCAACAAAAUAGUCUCGGUUAUGCUAAAUCUUAUAUUUUUUUUUGUCAGGAGUUUUUCAUUGUAACCGAAAUGUUUCAUCCUUGGUCAUAUCUGUUUACAGAUUAUUGGUGAGAUAUCUGUAUCUGGUGCAACAUACAGAUCGAUGGAGUUUGUUGGAUCAACAAUAGAAAGUCUAACUGUAUGUUCCAUGUUCAUAACUUGGUUAAUCAGUUUUUAUUUAAUGUAAAAUUGAGUUUAGUGUUUUCACACACUUGCUAGAUGGAAGAACGAAUGACAUUGUGCAACAUGGUUAUCGAAGCUGGUGGAAAGAAUGGUGUUGUGCCUGCUGAUGAAACUACAUUUAAGUACCUGGAGGUAUUGAACUACCAUCUGAAUGUUAAUAGUAGGACCGAAGGAGUGUGCUUUUUCCCCCUUCAAAGUUUGAGAUAACCACUGCGGGAAACAAUUUACAGCUACUAGCUAACAAUAUUUUUAUAUCAUGCUAAUUGUGACAUCAUCUGCCAUCCUCUACACUGCAGGGUAAGACAUUGGUCGAAUAUGAGCCUGUCUAUAGUGAUGCUCAGGCCAGGUGAUUACAGUCUCUCCUUGCUCUUCUUGCUCUUGAGACAUGUACAUCAAUCUAGACAAUUGAAUUAAAACUAUAUUUCUCAUACAAACCUUCACUAGUUGACUUCGAACCUAAUCAAUAGUAAGGUUGUCUCUUUUGCAUUUUAUGGACAAAAUGGUUGGUCCAAAGUCAAGUUGAACAAAGUUUCCAGUAAACAAUGUCGUUGAUUGCAACCAAAGUUUGCAUAUUGAUUAAUUAUACAGAGAGUAGGGGUCUUGAAAUACUUUGUGCAGGGCACUUACAAUAAAUUUAGAUAACUGGUUGUUCACUACUUUCUUCAGCUGAUCACAAUAAUGUGGAACCCAUUAGGCUUGGACAUAAUUGGCUACCUGUAGUGCUUCUCAGUAGGCGGCAUCCUUUGGGAAAUUUAGAAUGUCCUUGUGCAGUUAUAAGUUAUCCUUCCUGUGUGGCACACACAUAGCCAUACAAGCUGACAUUCACAAAAUAUUGCCCAUAUUUUCUGAUGUCUUGCGUCCGAGAAUUUGAAUGCUGUUCUCGAGUUUGUGUUUUUUCCUUCUAGAUUCAUCAUCAAAUGGUCAUUGUGUCAUGUUAUGAAUGGUGUUAUGACAUAUUGGCAUAUGUGCAAGCUUUUGAUGUCUGUUGUUCUAAUAUUUGAUUGAAUUUUUUUAUUUCAGAUUUUACAGUGACUACCGGUUUGAUGUGUCUAAAUUAGAGCCAGUAGUUGCAAAGGUUUGUUAACUAUUCUACUCGUUUGCAUUCUCUCUGUUGUUUUUGUUAGUUCUCUUGUAUAAUGAUGUAAUCUCCAUGAAUGUGCAGCCACAUUCUCCUGACAACCGUGCUCUAGCAAGAGAGUGCAAAGAUGUCAAGAUUGACCGAGUCUAUAUUGGUUCUUGCACUGGUGGUAAGACCGAGGACUUUAUUGCUGCUGCAAAGGUGUUCUUAGCUUCGGUAAGAAGCUUCAAACCAUCUUCUUUUAGCGUGGUGAUAUAUAGUCAGGAUUAUGUUUUCUUUUUAUGCAUUUUGGCAUACAGGGUAUCGGCUAUGUAUUCUGAAACUUGCAGAGUACGAUUAUUUCAAUGGUUUUCGACUUGUUUGUUUCUUAUAAGUUUUGUAUGUUGUCUUCCCUCUGUAUACUAUAAUAACUACUCAACAGAGUAGUUAUUAAAAUAGGAAGUGUUGUAGGUUUUCUGUAAUUAUUAGGCCUGGCAGUGGGGCUACAUAAGCUUAACCUGCAGUGCUAAUGAAUAGGCUAGUAUUAUUAUCAGGACAGGUUCAGUAUGCACUUUGAAUUUGAUUGGAUCUACUUUUAGGACUAACUGGUAUUGUUUGGGUUAAGGGACAUACACAUUGUUAAGCUAAAUAAAGAGACCCGCAUAUUGUUCUUCUUUUACUGAAAGAGCCUAAUGUGGGCCAGGUUUGGGCACAGCUAAUUGGUCCUGUAUACAUGGACAACCAUCAAUGCACAAAGGGCAUUAGUGGUUUCAUAUAGUUAUGUUUAGAUUAUGGAGCGUAUGGGUUGGCAUGUUCUGGGGUAAAUGUACAAGGAUUAAAUUAAGUUGCGCUCUAGUUGUGACCAAGGGCCAUUUAUAGAGAACAGUGAUGCCAUUGUUUGGAUCAUUAUUAGAAUUUAGGCAUCUGCCUCGACGUAAGAAUUCCAACUUGGCUGACCGUAUGGCUGAGCGACAUAAAGUAUUAUCAUUACUAACUUAUUUAUCAGUAUGCAAAGCAUCUUGGGCUAUCCUAUUCCUGUAGUUCUUUGUGCUCAAUCCUAAAUAUGCACCUGUGACAUAUUGCAGUAAUUAAAUCACACAAAUCCAUGAUUACCUGACUUGCUACAAAUUGUUUCCUUAAUACAGGGCAAGAAGGUUAAGGUUCCCACUUUUCUCGUUCCUGCGACUCAAAAGGUGACAAUUUGUGAUAAAAUAUACGGAUACAAUCAUCUUCAGUUUGUGUUACUAAAAAGAAUGUGAGAUCUUGCAGGUGUGGAUGGACGUGUAUAGUCUCCCCGUACCAGGAUCUGGUGGCAAAACAUGCUCCCAGAUAUUUGAAGAGGCUGGUUGUGAUACACCAGCUAGUCCUAAUUGUGGUGCUUGUUUGGGUGGUCCUCGUGAUACAUAUGCACGGAUGAAUGAACCUACGGCAAGUAUCUUCUAGUAUUUCUAAAUAUAUUUCUAUACAGUAGAUAUGCCACUUGAUAUAAAUGUAGAAUGGGGACUUGCGUGUUUUCUGAAGUGUUAAGGUCGGCUAAUUUUCUGGAUAAGACAUUUGACCUUGAAUACUGAUACAUGUUGCUGUCCUAAAAAAACAACAUCCGCCCCGAACUGUCAUAUCCCCACAUUGUUGGCUAGCUGGCUCCUGGCCGUCAUCUCUCCUAGGGUUUCGAAGCCACCAGUUUGCUCUAGGCUGCCGUUCUCAAGCCUAAACACAAUGCUCCCUCAUUAGUUUUGAUCCCCUACUUAGAAGGCCUUACUACCACAUCCUUCUGAUUGGGGACACUUACUUGCAUGAGAUAUCACAUGCUAGAUGUUCAUGAAACCUACAACUGCAAAUUCUGUAAAAUACCUUUUUCAUGUAUUAAGGUAGAAGGCCUUUUUGGUGUGUUAAGAGAAAUGUCAAGCGUGCUGCCACUCGGCUUUGUUGAUAGAUUGUUUUUUGGUGAUCUCAGAGUCAUGUAUUUGGGUGCAGGUCUGUGUAUCAACGACGAACAGGAACUUCCCGGGCAGGAUGGGCCACAAGGAAGGGCAGAUCUACCUGGCUUCUCCCUUCACCGCGGCGGCCUCAGCUUUGACGGGAUAUGUCACGGACCCCAGGGACUUCCUGUCGUAGAGAUCUUGAAAACAAUGAAUUUGUGUUGCGGACCGUCCUGUACUGGUACUUUUUGUUCGUGUUCGAAACUGUAGUUUAGAUGCGUCAUGUGUGUGUCGUGCUGAGAAAUAAGCUACUCAACGAGUAGCAGUUGUAACUGAGAAAGGUUCUGUUGUAUGCUUUUUCAUUGGCAUUACCAGUGUGCUGUCAGGAACAAACAUAACUGUUACAUUAUUCCAGAAUGAUACUGUAUCUUAGUACAUGAUCUGGUAGCUGUUGAUGUGGAACGGCGAGUACACCAGAGUACCCAUUUCAGACGGUUGGACUUGUGCUUCACCGUCUUGAUC